AGAUACUCAUGAAGAGGAGGCGCAGCAACCGUCUACAAGAGCAAAAUCCAGUGAAAGAAUUCGCAGAAAAAGUCACAGAACCCCUAACAAGUGAUCCACUCGAUCGUAUAUCAUAUGCUCCCGAUAUUUAUAAUCCCGGAACUUCAAAAAGAGCAAAUAAGAAUAUACUAUUGGUUACCUCAGGAGUCGAAACUUCUGACACUAAUGAAGAAGCGAUAUCCUCUUGCCCUCCGAACAAACCUAAAGAAUCUAAAUCAAAAUCAAAACUAGAAUACACAGGAGAGGCCACAGAACCCCCAGCUACUGAUUCACUUCCUCUUACAUCAUAUGCUCCUGAUAUCGCUAAUCCCGGAACUACAAAAAUAGCAAAUAAGAAGGUAUUACUGGAUGACUCAAAAGUAAAAACUUCAGACACGGAUGAAAAAUUGAUAUCCUCUUGCUCUCCGAAAAAACCGAAAAAAUCUAAAUCUAAAAGAAACCUAGAAUGCACAGGAGAAGCCGCAGAACCCCCAAUUACUGAUCUACUUUCCCUUACAUCAAAUUCUUCCGAAAUCUAUAAUCCUGGAACUUCAAAAAGAGCAAACAAGAAUUUACUAAUGGUGGACUCAAAAAGCGAAACUUUUGAUGCUAAUGAAGAAUCGAAACCUUCUUGCCCUCCAAAAAAACCGAAAAAAUCUAAAUCAAAACGAGAAUAUACAGGAGAAGCCACAGAAUCCCCAACAAUUGAUCCAAUCCAUUGUACAUCAAAGGCUCCCGAUAUCUAUAUUUCCGGAAUUACAAGAAGAGCAAAUAAGAAGAUACUACAGGAUGAUUCAUAUGUAAAAACUUCAGACACGUAUGAAAAAUUGACAAAAAGAGCAAAUAAGAAGAUACUACUGGAUGACUCAGAAGUAAAAACUUCAGACACGUAUGAAACAACGUUUACCUGACAUCUUAAACUUCAAUGCUCAGACUUAUACAACAUAUUAUAGUUACCACCUCCCAAUCUAUAUACACUGAAAAAAAGUUCUGUUGUCACAAACCAGAAUUCUGGUUGUAUUUCGGAACCAGAUUUUCUGGUUGAUUUAACCAGAAUUACAGUUGACUCAACCAGAAUUUGGUAGCGUCAACCAGACGUCUGGUUGAGUCAACUGUAAUUCUGGUUAAAUCAACCAGAAAAUCUGGUUCCGAAAUACAACCAGAAUUCUGGUUUGUGACAGCAGAACUUUUUUUCAGUGUACAAAUGUAAGAAAUAAAUAGAAAAUUGUUACUACUCGUCAAUAAAAAUAAAUAUUGUAUUUAAAAUAUGAAAAAAGAUAUUUGUUAUUUCAAUUCCCUAUUUUCCUAUGUUCCUGCAAUUUUUCCCUCUGCCAACAUUCAAUUCCUAAAAAAAAAAAAAAAAAAAAAAAAAAAAAAAAAAAAACAUUCAAUUCCUAAUAAAAAAAAUAAAUAAAAUGGCGAGGUGCUACGGUGAACGCUCUCCAACGUCGUAACGUUGGAACCGACAACUUUUUUUUUUUUUUUAAAGGAAAAAAACUUUUAUAUUUUAAAGUAGAUUGCUUUCGCAGUUUUGUAAGAACACCAUCUUUGAGCAACCUAACCUAACCUAACCUAACUCGCUAUUUUAAUGAAUUUACCCGAAGAUCAACCUCCUCCACCCGGGUACAACGUGAAAGAAAGGAAAUUUGCAGCUGACUUCAGUGAUAAGGAGUUUAAGAGGCAGACUCGUCCAACCCGGUACGUUUUCCGCUUUCAUAUUUAUGUGCCCAGUGCCCUUUUUUCGGAAAUAGCCUUUAACCCCUAACUUAGCCCCGCAAAUAAACUUGGUAUUUUGGCUCCAAAAGUUGUAAAUAUGUAUUGUAAAUAUGUGGCAAAGUCUAAUUGAUUUUUGGAGGAGACAAUUGAUUGAGGAUUGAAACGUGUCUCUUUUUGGUUUCCGUUCUAUGUCUACGAGAUAGAAACGAUGUCCGAUUUGACAUCGGUGGGAGAUGUUGCGUGGGUGGAGGCUGCCGGUGAGAUACUUUCCGCGAGACUGAUAGUCGACGGGCUGGAUGGAAUGGCGAUGGGCGGAGAUCCCCAGCGUGAAUUUGCCACACUUCUCGUGGAGGCCCUUUGCAUGAGCUGAAAAUGUUCUCGUCUCGUUGGUCUAUCCGGCACGGGGGCUUCCACCUGAAUUUAUUAUCCGAUGCAGAUGCGACCAACAACAUCCACCAUCCAACGAAAACGGGAGUCGAUCGACGAUGGACCGGUGACCGCGAGGAAACAGGAGACGACAGCUCUGGAAAGACUUUCACACUCCACGUUUCGACUCGCACACCCACGAGCUAACGGUCUUUCGGGGAGAGACUCGGGUUCCGCCCCAACUUUCUUCCGCAUUAUCUUUCCACGGGAUCUGUGGGGUGUGAGGGAGAACAAUGUCUAUCAGUGCCGAUUUCAGAGUCAGAAUAUUUUAGGGACCCCGCAGAAAUUUGCCGUGCGACGCAAAAACGCCGUAAACGCCACUUUAAAUUUUUUGGAAACAUCGUAUCAUAGCAGAAAAACUUACUUAGGACAAUGUUUUUACAGAAUUUCCUUCGCAAAUACUAUCAAGAACUUGACCUGAAAAUUUGAGGUGCAUGGGUAAACCAGUUUUUAUUCUAAAAAGUGUUAAGUCCCAAAAAACGAGGGAAAAGCUUGAUGGAUUUGCGACGUUCUUGCUUGGCACAGCAGAAAUGGCCUCCAUGACAAUGGAAAGGUUUUCAUCGAGAAUCACUGUUAUUUCCUUAAUGGCGAGACAUGAAAAAAGAAGAAAAUCGGUACUGUUGUAAAAAUUCAAAGGACAUUCUUAAGGCAACCGAAAUGGACUACUGGCGUAGAUCGGCCGGAGUUUCGAGAAAGGAUCACGUUCGGAAUGAGAGGAUCCGUGAAAUUAUGGGCGUCGAAAACAACAUAGUGCAUGACAUUUUUACAAAACAGCUUGUCUGGUAUGGUCAUGUGCAACGGAUGCCAGAUGAAAGGUUGCCUAAGAAGGUUCUGGAUUGGGUCCCCCCUGGCAGAAAGCGUAGAGGACGCCCUGCUAAAUCGUGGAUUGAGGGAAUAAGGCAGGAAAUGAGGAGAUGCGAUCUGCCGGAGGAGCUCUGGCAGGAUCGCUAUCAGUGGCGGUUGGGUGUCGCAGAGCGCGCAGAAGCGCUGUAAGAGCGACUUGUUAGUAGUAGUAGUAGUGUAAAAAUUCGGCAGCAUCCGAGCUCUCUCGGGAAAAAUUUGGAGGUGACUUCCAAGGGAAGAACUUUUUGCCCAUCUAAGUUUCUUCCUAGUUGGCUCCUCGAAAUAAAAGUGAGUGACCAGGCAACGCUGUUACCUGAACAGUGAACAUCCUGAAUCCAAAUAUUGAUAAUCAGUAGAUAACUUAUUACGUUGCAAGCUUAGAUUUGUGAACAGGAGUCUUUAG
rnacentral:lncRNA from 1 species